rnacentral:misc_RNA from 1 species
AUUUUCUGAUUUUUUUUAUCGCCCUUUUGUCAUAUCCCGCUAUAGCCAUGAAAUCCUUACUUUCCGAAUCUUUUCUAGCAUCAAGGCUCUUUGAUUUUGAAGUUGAAUUUCUAUAAUCAUUGCAACUUUUUUCUCCUUUUCAAGAGGGAAAACAACGGAAAUAAGUGUUUUGAAAUUUUAGGUGAUUAAUCAAUUUUUUUGGAAAGAUGAAAAUUGGAGUGGAAAAGACCAUAGCCAGGAGGAAGCGAGGAGGUAGAGCGGACGGUGAUUGACCUUACAAGGGGAUACGGAUGAGGAAGUGGGGCACAUGGGUGUCUAAGGUAAGAGAACCCAACAAGUGCUCAAGGAUUCGGCUUGGCUCAUAUUUAACUCCAGUGGUAGCAGCUCGAGCCUACAACACGGCAGUCUUCUAUUUGAAAGGGCCAUUAGUAAGGCUUAAUUUCCCAGAAUUUUUGACGGGAGAAAGUAUCGACGGAACUUGCGAU